CCAAUCUGCUGCCAGCACAGCCAGAACACAGUAGGCGGAAGAAGGUGGGAUAGGCUGGCUUGAUGAGCCUUCUGACUUUCACCUUUCUCCCCUGCUGGAUGCAUCCAUCCAUCUCUCCCUCCUGCCUUCAGACAUCAGACUCCAGCUUCUUUGGCCUUUGGACUCUUAGACUUACACUAGUGGUUUGCUGGGGGCUUUCCGGCCUUUGGCCACAGACUGAAGGCUGCAUCGUCAGCUUCCCUACCUUUGAAGAUUUUGGACUUUGACUGAGUCACUAUUGGCUUCUUUCUUCCUCAGCUUGCAGACGGCCUAUCAUGGGACUUCACCUUGUGAUCAAAGGAGAAGGACUGAGGUGUUCUAUCUCUUUCCGGCACAAAUCAUCACUUCACAUAUCCCUUCUAGACAGCAGCUGUAUGAUAGCAUGAUGCAUUUGGAGAAAAUGGUUGAUUCCCUUUAAGGAAUCAAGGUUAGCCUGCAGAGCUAAUAAAAGCCCCUUGGGAAAACUUGCCUGAUACCUUGUCUACACACUCUCUGUACAGGAUUGCUAAUCUGUGGUUGUUUUGGGGUGAGAUAAACAUUUAAAUUGGUGAACUUUGAGAGGAAAAUUAGAAGACAAGUAUCCUCAUUUCCACCUGGAUCCAGUCUUUCUUCCUUAUUACUUUUAUUAACAAUAUCAGUUAAGGUUUAUAUGGAUGUCUUGCUUUGGCCUGUACAAAAAACUACUUUGUAUAUGCCUUAUUUUAUUAAUUUUGCUUCUGAAUUUCAUCAAAUUCUCUGAUCAUAACUCUAUAUUCUUGUAAGGAAUGCUCAGAAUUAUACUAUUUCACUCCAAAUUUUAUUAUUAUUGAGACGAAACUGGGUAUAGAAAGUUGUGGGACCAGUUUGUAAUUUAUUGCUUUAAAAUUUGGUCAAGCCACUCAAAUUCUCUAGCUGUACCUAUGAAAUAGCUUUAAUAUUUCAAUCCCCUGCAUUUUCUUUGAAUAAUAUGGAGUUUGAAUUGAAGUGGUCCUGAAUUUGAGUGCUGCAUAUGCUACUUUUGAGAUAUGUGAUCUUGAGCAAGUUGCUUAAUCACAUUAAACCUCAAUUCUCUCAUCUUUAAAAUAGAAAAAAUAAUAGCUACUUUACAGUGUUGAGAAAAGAAUAAGAUGAAACAGUUUAUUAAAAACAUAGAAGAGUGCUUAAGACAUAAUAAAGUCUACAUAAAUUGUGCCUAUUGUUAUUACUAAUAAAAAAAAAAGAAAUUCUACGUGUCAGGAAUUUGAACAAAUUACAGCUGGAUUUGCAUAUUUCUUCCACAAGAUGUAUGUGGUCCCAUCUGAUAAUAGGGAAUUGGUUGGUAACUGGAAUCUUCUUGGAAACCUCUUAAAUCACAGAUCUUGCACUUGUACUGGGAUAAUCUGGAGUGUGUGCUCCUCUGAGUUUGUUGACCAAAUCACCUACAGGUGAACUCUCCAUAUAUGUAUUUUCCUAGUCAAUUCCUACACUGACCUCAAGCAAACACUGAUCAGCUUUCUGUCAUAAUAGAUGCGAUUUACUUUUUUAGAAUUUAAUAAAACUCAAAUUAUACUGUAUGCAUCCUUUUGUGUCUGGAUUGCUUUUUUUUCUCUGCCUUACAUUGUUGAAUAUAUUCUAGGUAUGUUUUACUAAUUGCUUGGUUGUAUAUUAAUGCAUACUGCAUUUUGUUUAUCCAUUCAACUAUUGAUGGAAAUUGGAGUUGUUUUCAGUUUCUGGUUAUAAAUAAAACAGCUAUGAACAUUUACAU
rnacentral:lncRNA from 10 species